rnacentral:rRNA from 1 species
AACGAACGCUGGCGGCAUGCCUAACACAUGCAAGUCGAACGAGACCUUCGGGUCUAGUGGCGCACGGGUGCGUAACGCGUGGGAACCUGCCCUUAGGUUCGGAAUAACUCCCCGAAAGGGGUGCUAAUACCGGAUAAUGUCUUCGGACCAAAGAUUUAUCGCCUUUGGAUGGGCCCGCGUUGGAUUAGCUAGUUGGUAGGGUAAAAGCCUACCAAGGCGACGAUCCAUAGCUGGUCUGAGAGGAUGAUCAGCCACACUGGGACUGAGACACGGCCCAGACUCAUACGGGAGGGAGCAGUGGGGAAUAUUGGACAAUGGGCGAAAGCCUGAUCCAGCAAUGCCGCGUGAGUGAUGAAGGCCUUAGGGUUGUAAAGCUCUUUUACCCGGGAUGAUAAUGACAGUACCGGGAGAAUAAGCUCCGGCUAACUCCGUG